UUACUUUAAAAAAUGUUUAAUAAAACAAAAAUUAUUUCUAGCCAAUAUGCUAUGAAAAGAGCCAAGUUCAGAAUAUUGUAAGAGCCAUUGUAAGAUGAAACAAAUUUAAUGAUUGUAAGUCAAGGACUCCCUGUAUUGGUAGCCAUGCCAGUGUUCAAUGCUUUUUUAGUUAGUUAGAUUUUUUCAUUUCAGUUCAAGAAUGUUUCCCGAAAUAUCUGUAAACAAAUCACAUAAUAAUAAAGUAAUUCAUUUACAGGGAGUAAACUUAAAUCCAUCCUUGGAAAAUUUUUCUUGGUGGGUUUCAUCCAAGCAUUGAUAUAACAUUCUUUUGACUCUAUCACAGAUUGAGCAGUUCAUAGUUAGGCCUGAGAUGAACACCAUUACAUAGUAAUCAGCCAACAAUCGAGAAGUGAUGUUGAUUGGAGGAUCUGGGUUUAAUUCCUGGUUCCACACUUCCCAAUUUUUUCAGAAGAGGUCUAAGCCCAGUUUAUUGAAUCUCCAUCCUUCACUUGACAGCUGACUCCACUAUUGGUGUGGAUUGCUCAAAGUGAGCAUGGAAAUGCCCUACUGCUUAGUUUCAUUGAGUAGAGAACAGUAUAAAAUCACACAGGAAGAAGUAAUGUUAAAAAAUAAUUGCUUAUUUAUUCUAGAAACUUGGAUAUACAAAUAUAACUUAUGCAUUCCAUUUUUAUUUUUAUCUAAUAUUUUCUUUACUUUUACCUACAUAGAAUUGUUGAUAGACAUUAGAUAUAUAUUUCCCUCACUUUAUAGAAAAAAUAGUGUUUAUUCAAUGUUACUGUACUGUGG
rnacentral:lncRNA from 1 species